GUGCUCACUUCGGCAGCAUAUAUACUAAAAUUGGAAUGAUACAGAGAUUAGUAUGGCUACUGCAAAAAAAUGACAUGCAAAUCUGUGACGUGUUCCAUAUUUAA